UACGGAGGGAGCUAGCGUUGUUCGGAAUUACUGGGCGUAAAGCGCACGUAGGCGGCUUUGUAAGUUAGAGGUGAAAGCCCGGGGCUCAACUCCGGAACUGCCUUUAAGACUGCAUCGCUUGAAUCCAGGAGAGGUGAGUGGAAUUCCGGAGUGUAGAGGUGAAAUUCGUAGAUAUUCGGGAAGAACACCAGUGGCGAAGGCGGCUCACUGGACUGGGUAUU
rnacentral:rRNA from 1 species